rnacentral:rRNA from 1 species
UACGUAGGGCGCAAGCGUUGUCCGGAAUUAUUGGGCGUAAAGAGCUCGUAGGCGGUCUGUCGCGUCUGCUGUGAAAACUCAGGGCUUAACCCUGAGCUUGCAGUGGGUACGGGCAGACUAGAGUGCGGUAGGGGAGACUGGAAUUCCUGGUGUAGCGGUGAAAUGCGCAGAUAUCAGGAGGAACACCGGUGGCGAAGGCGGGGUCUCCUGGGCAGUAAACUGAC